rnacentral:rRNA from 1 species
UACAGAGGUCCCAAGCGUUGUUCGGAUUCACUGGGCGUAAAGGGUGCGCAGGUGGGUUUGCAAGUUCGAUGUGAAAGCCCCGGGCUUAACCCGGGAAUGGCAUUGGAUACUGCAGAUCUAGAGGAUUGGAGGGGGGACUGGAAUUCUUGGUGUAGCAGUGAAAUGCGUAGAUAUCAAGAGGAACACCAGUGGCGAAGGCGAGUCCCUGGACAAUUCCUGACACUGAGGCACGAAAGCUAGGGGAGCAAACAGG